UACGGAGGGGGCAAGCGCUACUCGGAAUCACUGGGCGUAAAGCGCACGUAGGCGGCUUUCUAAGUCAGGGGUGAAAUCCUGGAGCUCAACUCCAGAACUGCCUUUGAUACUGGAGAGCUUGAGUCCGGAAGAGGUGAGUGGAACUCCGAGUGUAGAGGUGAAAUUCGUAGAUAUUCGGAAGAACACCAGUGGCGAAGGCGGCUCACUGGUCCGGUACUGACGCUGAUGUGCGAAAGCGUGGGGAGCAAACAGG
rnacentral:rRNA from 1 species